rnacentral:rRNA from 1 species
CGAACGGGUGAGUAAUGCGUGACCAACCUGCCCCAUGCUCCAGAAUAGCUCUUGGAAACGGGUGGUAAUGCUGGAUGCUCCAACUUGACGCAUGUCUUGUUGGGAAAGUGUUUAGUGGCAUGGGAUGGGGUCGCGUCCUAUCAGCUUGUAGGCGGGGUAAUGGCCCACCUAGGCUUCGACGGGUAGCCGGCCUGAGAGGGCGGACGGCCACAUUGGGGACUGAGAUACGGCCCAGACUCCUACGGGAGGCAGCAGGG